GGCGGCUGCAAACGCCGCAAUAUAGGCUUUUGCCACCGUUCACGCUUUUCCUUCCAAUAAGUGUAAACAGAUUCAAUAACUGAAUAUCUGAUUGCUUGAGUUUGUAGAGCCUCAAUCGCAUUGUCAUGUUGUAAGAGUACAGGAACUGGUGAACCAAGAGUAGUUGUUAUUAUACCAGCUCUUUCUCGAGCCUUGUGAUCCAAUACCUCCAAUUUGAAGAGGAAACUCUCAAAUCUCUCAGGAGUGAGUAUCUUUCUUUCUCUGUUAAGGUCCUGAAGCCAAUCCUCG
rnacentral:misc_RNA from 1 species